rnacentral:tRNA from 3 species
UAGCACUGUGCCGGAUAAAACGGGUUACUUUGAUGUAGUAAGAUAUGAUGUCUAAGCGCUUCCAGUGUUAU